UGUCUACUUUGUUCAUAUGAUGCAGUCCAAGUUUUAGUUUGAAAAAGAGAUUAAAUUUUAGGUGUUGAUGUCGAUUGGUAAAAAAUGGAGGGACUGGAAGUGCGAAUUGAAGAAAUUCCACUACUCACUUUACGAUAAUGAUGAGGCGCGGCUGGCAGACCUCGAUGAGCAUGUCUAUAUGGAUCAGUGGAAGGCCCUCAUUGAGUUUUGGAACUCUGAAGAGGGAAAGAUCCAUAAUAAGAUAAAUACAGAAAAUCAGAAAAAAUAACGCAUCGGCCACGCUGCAGGCACGAAGAGCUUUGCGCGGAUACGUGAUGAAGAGAGAAAGAAGAGGGCCAAUGGGGAGGAUUUGACUCGAGUAGAUAUGUUCUUAUUAACACAUACACACAAGAAUGGGAUGCCUGUGGAUGAGGCCUCAUCUACUGCAAUGG